CGCCAUUCUCUGUCAAAAGAAUGAGAAUGAAAUCUUAACAAGGCUAUUUAUAGCUGAGGAGCGUCACAGAAAACAGGACCAGACCCAGCGGACAACCGCCCGGCGGUACACUUAUGUUAUCCGGCGGUUUGCCCCUAAUCGCGCCACUGCCUGGCGGUAGGGGGCCACCACCCGGCGGUUUGCCUCUAAUCGCAAAUCAGCCCAGCGCCCACGCCAUGUGCCUUCUCCUCGCCUUGGAACGCCCAACGAUGAAUUUUGCCGCCGGGCGGUUUCUUGACUCUUCAUUUCUUCAAUUUUCUUCCUCUAUCUUGAGUCUAAGACCUUCAUCUUCAACCCCAAUCUUCGCUUUCAUCAAAAUCACUACAAAACAAUGCAAAACAAGCA
rnacentral:lncRNA from 1 species